CGUCUGUUUUAGACGAAGACGAAGAGCAAGGCGACGAAUAGCGACUCACCGGCGGCGUUGGAACUUCCAUCUAGAUCUCGCACUUGCCCUUGCCCUUGCGGAGGCGACUGGUGCAGAUUAAUAGCAAAGAUUUGUGUCCUUUUUUGGGUAUGUAUUCUAUCCUUUUGUUCAAGGGUUUUCUUGGAACAUGGAGGAGGAGAGAGAGAGAGGCAUGUCGGCCUAGAGAGAGAGAGAGAGAGAGAGAGAGAGAGAGGUCGAUCUGCCAGAAUUCGACGCAGGCGAGGGAGGCAGCAACUCACGACGUCCUACGCAUGGGCAAAGAAAACUUCAAAAAGAUAGUCUGUUCCUACUCAUGCUCAUGCCGGUGGCUAAACUCCCGAUCUCCAGAUCCCCUUGCAUCUCCUGGUCUCACGUCGUUUCUCGAGUCACCUGUUCUCUUCUCCAAUAUAUAUGACUGUGCAAGAAAUGGUGAUAUUUUCAACCAGUGUGCUGAGUAUUAAGUGGACGAUAAAAGGGAAGCCUAACUAAAUCCUUAUUUGCUGGUAUAGGAGGAGACUUGAUUAUUAAAGUUGCUUCUCAGUUUACUCUGAACCAGAUCAGUUGACAAGUGAUUUAGCACAAGCAGUUUUGGGAUUUAUCAGCUUCAUCAGCAAUUGCUCGGGCUUAUUUCUGGAUGUCACGCUGUCUUUUCGCUACGACCGAGUCUGGGAAAGAUGUAUCCGACUUUGUUAAGGACAUUACUAGAUGGUUUUCAGCACCAAAAGAGAAAUUAAAGAUUUAUCCAAACCCUACUGGUGAUCGAACGAAGCAUGACAGGCAAAAAAAGCAGAGGUUAGUGCGAUCGUCAUGCUGGCUUCUGAGGAGAUCCCUCCAUAACACCCAAGAUCUCUUUGAUGCCGCAGAUUACCCCCUCUCUCGUUAAGAAAAGGCGCAAUCCCCAAAUACAUCCACUGAGUUGAGUUCCUCAUCGUCUCGUAGUUUCUCUUUCUGCAACAGUGUGCAUGAUCAUGGUGAUGCUUUGUUAAGUUAGUUUGUGGUUCACAAGUGCAGCAAGGUCAUGAAUAAUCAGGAUAUAACUUUGACAAAAUUCUGAUCAAUUAAUGUAUAUCUGGAUCAUUGUGUAAAAUUAGUUGAGGUUACUAUUUUUGUAGAGCUAUGUAAAACAAUGAAUCUAAAAGAUUUAGGAAACCUUUAUUAAAAACCUAUGUUGUCAAGUUUCGACAAAAGAAGAUAGAAUACAGGGUGGCUUAAAUCUUAAUUUUGUUACAUGCCCCAUA